CACACUCGUGUACUCCUGUACAGUGUUCAUACACACGGGAGGUGCAAAUCAAAUUAGAUAGUGAUCAAGAUUCUGAAGAGAUAAAGGAGAAGGAUGCUCGCAUUCAAUGGACGACUGAAAGGGACAUCACCAAGUGCGCUUUGAUUCACGACAAUUCCAUAACGAACCCAGGGUUUCCGCAUUAUCCCCAGGCAUGGCCGUCGAACGUGCCUUUCAAGUUCAUUCCCAAUCCCCGGAAUCGAAUCCGGAUCAAGACAAAUGGACUCCUCCGCCAGAGCAAUUGGCACCAUUGUAUUUUGAUUCCUGUUAAAUUGCUUGUUUACUCAAGUUCCUCCCAUUUCCAGGCAGCCAGCCAGCCACCCAGCCACCCAGCCAGCCACCCUCUUGUGGCUGAAUAGUGGAACUUACAGACACCAUCAUCACGGGAAGAAUCGAGUCCAUUCCAAAAUGUUCGUCUUUCAAUUCCGAUGGGUGACGUUUGACAGCUAGGCGGAUUUACAGCCAGGAUUAUCCCGCUCGCCAUUGAGUUCAAUACAAUACAAAAUACACUACUGUACGUACAUGAAAUCGAAGGAAACGUUCUAGUUGACUGUCUGGUUGAGCUUCGUCAUCUCCGCAGAGGAUUUAAGCCCUGAAACUAUUGUACUACGUACUAUACACGAGGACGAGCCAUAUUUUGACAGAGCUUGCUCGAGAAUGGAACUUCAAGGCACCAACGGUUAGGGAAAUUGGUCAUGCUGGUCCGCCUCCUUGAGAAAUAUCUGUUAUAAUAAGUCGGCGUCUAGCGGAUAAAGCCCAGUCAAUUUGUCAAUGGAAAAAGGUCAUAUGUCCCAUUCUUUUAUUCUGGCGACAAUUGCACGGAUGCGGGACCAUGCAAAAGCCUGAUAUCUUUCAUUCAUUUCCCAAAGCCAUCUAUGCCCAGUCAUGAACAACUCAUUUUUAUGGACUGGAAAAUGGGAUGGCUGGGUUAUUUCUAGCUCGCCAUUGUCUCCAUAGAUAGUGUUCAGGACUAUACUACGUAGAUACUUCAGGACCUCGUUCUUUGAACAGUUUAGAAAUGUAAAUCAAACACCGCUUGGCGUGCUUUAGCAAGAAAGGUUAGCAAACAUGUCCAAUGUUUUUGUUCUUAUUGCCAUGUUUCCACAUUACGGUUGGAAAAUCUGUCGUAAAAUUCAGUCAAGUGGAAGAGCGGAGCAAUUUCGCGCAUUCGUCCAGAAAAGAAAAAAAUCCAAGACUUUGAGAGUCAGUGGCCAUUCAAUUGUACGAGUAUUUGUAGGCCACUCUGAAGAAUCGGAAGCAGACGACUGUUGUUUUGUUUACCAAACAAUCAACUUAUCGAAUGGUCUCGUCAAGGUUAUUCCUCCAUUGCCUUCUUUCAUUGCUCGAUUGAGAGGUAAAGGUUUUUGAAUGUGGUUAAAAAGCCGGGAAAAAAUCCAGAGCAAUAAAUCAAGCUGGUGUUGAAGGUGGCAACCAACAUUUCAGUGUUUAUGGAGAUAAAAUGUUUCGACCGUAAACCAUCAAAACAAUCUCUCAAAAGAACUUUUUGAACAUGUUUUCUGCAUACAUCUCCUUCAGAAGAAACUGGAGAGGAUUUCAAGCAUUCCGUAAUGAGGUUAACCGUUCAGCUUGUAAGAUUGGGUCUUACAAGGAGGAUUCCCAGAUAAACCCCAAAGUGGUGCGAGGACUUCCGUUGUAAUUUUGCCUCUCUACUGCCAUGCCGUUCAUUCUCUUACAAGCUCGUACGUUUGUCUUCCGGAACCAUUAAUUUAUUGUAAUGACGAUUGUAGGGCAGUUCAAGUUGGACUUGUCGUACAAUGUAGUACGAUGUACUACGAUGUACAUGAGCUUUAUGUGGUCAUCACCGUUCGUCCAACGGGCAAGACUCUUGCUUCAAUGAUUUUUACUCUCAUCCUUAUGGCCGAAACAACUCCUCUUCAUCAUGGCAAGACAGGCCAAUCUCCAGCAAAAAAGGGCGGGCCCCGAAGAAACGAACAAAAUCUACAAUUUCGACCAACCUCGUAAAAAAGCCUGUAAGUCCAUCUUACGGUUUUACUCUCGUUCAAAAACGACGACACUCUUUCUUAAUUAUACAUAGUAAGAAUACCUUACUCGUCCACCGAUUGCUCAAAAUGACAAACUUAUCCACGAUUCAAACUGAGAUACCUCUGGAUCAUCCGAAUAACCAUUAAAACUCAAAAAAAAAAAUCCAAACCUUCAUUUGGCAAUGCUAUCAAAGCCAUCAAAACAAUCCCGAGUGUUUCAUCAAAUACUGAUGAAUGGGAUGGGUUUGGCACCCUUUCA